GUGCCUUAAACUAAUGAGUAAGGAAAAUAAUAGAGCUUUGGUAAUGCUUAGCUCGGCUUAGAUGCCAUCAUUGCAACGGUGUAAGCCACAGCAAUGAUACUAAGCAUGAAUUUUUCGAUGGGUAAAGGUCGUCCAAUGAAAGGUAUGCUCGCCUACUUUGCGAGAAACCUCUCGUGACAGCGAUCUGCCCA